rnacentral:rRNA from 1 species
CCUACGGGGGGCUGCAGUGGGGAAUCUUGGACAAUGGGGGAAACCCUGAUCCAGCAAUGCCGCGUGUGUGAAGAAGGCCUGCGGGUUGUAAAGCACUUUCAGUGAAGAAGAAGGCUAAUGUAUGAAUAGUGCAUUGGAUUGACGUUAUUCACAGAAGAAGCACCGGCUAACUCUGUGCCAGCAGCCGCGGUAAUACAGAGGGUGCAAGCGUUAAUCGGAAUUACUGGGCGUAAAGGGUGCGUAGGUUGUUAUAUAAGUUAGAUGUGAAAUCCACG